GGAGGAGGCACCCUGGCACCCCUGACUCCCAGGAUGAGUCCCAGGGAACACCAGGGUGGAGUCAGGGGCAGGGAGACUCUUGGGGACUCUGAGGGAGCCACAGCCCAGGGAGACCUCCCAAGAAGACCUCCCAAGAAUCAAGCCCAGCCUGUGGACCUGGGGUGCUGAUGCUCACCAAGGGAGGCAGCGAUCCUCCUGGCGGCUGGCAGAGACCGGGCCUGCAGCACAGACUGUUUCCUCGGAUGGGGUACCCUGAGGCCUUGAUAGGGUGAAGGCAUAUCAAGAAGUCUGACUGUGGUCAUGGAGCACUCAUGGGAAGAAGGGGUGUUACCAGCACUAGAAAAUCCGACAUCUUUUCUUUUCACCAUUCCUAGAGGUGUCCCCCAGGCCACAUGUGCAGCCUCAAACUUGGACUCCUGCAGUCUCUCUCCCAGGUCUUCUCACCUCUGCCCAAGCCAGCUCCUACGCCUGAUGUGGGCCCAUCUUCCUCCCCCACCGUCUCCCCUCCAGCUCAACAUAAGCUACCAAGGGGUCCCUCCCUGCUCAUCAGCCUUUCAGCUGUCACUUAACAGGGUGCUCCUGCCCAUUCUCCAAGUGCCUCCUCCAACAGGCAGACUUCCCUGGCCACCACCUCAUAUUCUGCCAGCUCUAAGACUCAUCAUCAGGACCCCUUGUUCCACUUUCACCUUAUUAUUGAUGUUUUCCAAGUGUGUGUCUUGUUUUCUCAACAAAUUACACACAGUAUAAUACCACCACCCAUACUGGCUGAGAUGUCCUGAGUUCUUGCUUACUCUGUGCCAGGCACAGGACAGCUUCUUCUCUGAGGAGGGAAAUGGUAUAAAAGACUAAGCAUAGGGCCCAGCACACAGUCAGUGCUCAAGCAGGGCAGGAGUUUCUCAGAUCUGCUCAAACACCACUGGCAGGUGGAUAAAUUGGUGUACUCUUUCUGGAAAGCCAUUUCCAUUAUGUAUUCAAAGCCUUAAAAUAUGCAUAGCCUUCCGGAUCUGGGCCAGCGACCCCACUUUUAGGAAUUUAUUCUAAGAAACAAUCAGAGAUGUACUCAAAGGUUUAGCUACAGGACUGCACCCAGCCACACCAGUGGAAGAGCUGUGCCUCCGUUUAACUGUAAAAUGGAGAUAAAAAUAGUGCCUAGUCUAUGGGCUGCUGUGAGGAUUCAUAAAUCAGGCACUGAUUAUAUGUAAAGCAAUGAAUGCAGUGCCUAGUACAUAUUGCAGCUUUUCAAAAGUGUUACCUGCUCUUUUUAUUAUUUGAAUUGAAGUCUGAAUGAAGUCAAAGCCCGAAUGGGCUCCCUACCUCCCUCCCUCCAUUCUCGUGAUUUCCAAAACCAACAAAAGGGUUACUAAUAUCAAAAACAGCAUCAACACCAACCACCAUCUAAAUCCAACACAAAGGAACUGGUUAAAUAACAAUACAACUGUAUAUAACACUAUGCAGCCACUCAAGAUGAUGUCAUAGAACAAGAAUUAAUGGCAGGCACCAAUGUACCUAAGUAGAAAAAGGCCCCAAAACUAUUAGUUCAGUAAGAUGGUAAUUUUUUCUUUUAAAAAGCACAUAAAUGUGUAGAAAAAAUAUAUAUACUGCAAAUUGUGAAAAGCUGGCCGGGCUCAGUGGCUCACGCCUGUAGUCCCAGCACUCUGGGAGGCCGAUGGGGGGCGGAUCGCUUGAGCCCAGGAGUUCCAGACCAGGCUGGGCUACAUGGCAAGACCGUCUACAACAAAUUCUGAAAUUAGCCAGGUGUGGUGGGGUGCACCUGUAGUCCCAGCUACUCAGGAGGCUGAGGUUGGAGGAUCACCUGAGCCCGGGGAGGUCAAGGCUGCAGUGAGCCAUGAUUGCACCACUGCCCUCCAACCUGGGCAAAAGAGUGAGACCCUGUCUUACACAAACACACACACACCAAUGUAAAGAGUUGCCAUGUCUAGCUUGUGAAGUUACAAACGCUUUCUCUUUUUAUCUUUCUUUUUAAUUUCUUGCAAAGAACACAAACCUCUUUUGUAGUAAGGAGAAAAAACUAAUUUUGCCAAGGAAAAUAGAAGCCACAUGGGUUUACUUCUAUCUGUAAUGGAAGGCACUGUGUCUUCCUUUCACGUAUCCCUCAC
rnacentral:lncRNA from 1 species